GAGUUUGAUCCUGGCUCAGGAUGAACGCUGGCGGCGUGCCUAACACAUGCAAGUCGAACGGACUUAACCUGAAACCUAGUGAAGGUUAAGUUAGUGGCGGACGGGUGAGUAACGCGUGGACAACCUGCCGCAUGCAGGGGGAUAACAGUUGGAAACAGCUGCUAAUACCGCAUAAGCGCACAGUGCCGCAUGGCACGGUGUGAAAAGAAAUUCGGCAUGCGAUGGAUCCGCGUCCGAUUAGCCAGUUGGCGGGGUAACGGCCCACCAAAGCGACGAUCGGUAGCCGGCCUGAGAGGGCGGACGGCCACAUUGGGACUGAGACACGGCCCAAACUCCUACGGGAGGCAGCAGUGGGGAAUAUUGCACAAUGGACGAAAGUCUGAUGGAGCAACGCCGCGUGAGUGAAGAAGGGUUUCGGCUCGUAAAGCUCUGUUGGUAGUGAAGAAAGAUAGAGGUAGUAACUGGCCUUUAUUUGACGGUAAUUACUUAGAAAGUCACGGCUAACUACGUGCCAGCAGCCGCGGUAAUACGUAGGUGGCAAGCGUUGUCCGGAUUUAUUGGGCGUAAAGCGAGUGCAGGCGGUUCAAUAAGUCUGAUGUGAAAGCCUUCGGCUCAACCGGAGAAUUGCAUCAGAAACUGUUGAACUUGAGUGCAGAAGAGGAGAGUGGAACUCCAUGUGUAGC
rnacentral:rRNA from 1 species